CCGGACGCUCCCAUAGGAGCCAAUCAGGAAGGAGAGAGACGGAAUUGGCUGCUGCGCCCUCUUCUGAGGCAUGCUGGGAGCCUGGAGGACUAGCGAGGAGGAGUUGAGAGAACGGAGCGGACGCCAUGGCGACCAACAUCGAGCAGAUUUUUAGGUCUUUCGUGGUCAGUAAAUUCCGGGAAAUUCAACAGGAACUUUCCAGUGGAAGGAAUGAAGGCCAGCUGAAUGGUGAAACAAAUACACCCAUUGAAGGAAACCCGGCGGGUGAUGCAGCUGCCUCUGCCAGGAGCCUGCCAAAUGAAGAAAUAGUACAGAAGAUAGAGGAAGUACUUUCUGGGGUCUUAGAUACCGAACUACGAUAUAAGCCAGACUUGAAAGAGGCCUCCAGAAAAAGUAGAUGUGUAUCUGUACAAACAGAUCCUACUGAUGAAAUUCCCACCAAAAAGUCAAAGAAACAUAAAAAGCACAAAAACAAAAAGAAGAAAAAGAAGAAAGAAAAGGAAAAAAAAUAUAAAAGACAGCCAGAAGAAUCUGAGUCAAAGCCGAAAUCUCAUCAUGAUGGGAACAUAGAUUUAGAAUCUGAUUCCUUUUUAAAGUUUGAUUCUGAACCUUCAGCAAUGGCACUGGAGCAUACUACAAGAGCAUUUGUUCUAUCUGAGACCAGUGAAUCCUCUGCAAUUGUGCUAGAACCUCCUAUAGUAUCAAUGGAGGUGUCAGAGCCUCACAUCACAGAAACUCUGAAGCCAGAUGCAAAAACUGCAGAACUGUCAGUUGCAUCUACAUCAGUAAUCACAGAGCAGUCUGUGACAGUAAUGCUGGAACCACCCAUGACAAAGAUUCUGGAUUCCUUUGCAGCAGCAUCAGUGCCUACUACGACAGCGGUGCUGAAGUCAUCUGAGCCAGUUGUAACCAUGUCGGAGUAUCAGAUGAAGUCUGUGCUGAAAUCUUUGGAGGGCAUAUCUCCAGAGCCAUCAAAGAUCAUGUUGGUAGAGCCCCCAGUAGUAAAAGUGUUAGAGCCAUCAGAAACCCUUGUGGUAUCAUCAGAGACACCUACUGAGGUGUACCCUGAGCCAAGCACAUCAACAACAAUGGAUUUUCCAGAGUCAUCUGCAACUGAAGCGCAAAGAUUGCCAGAGCAGCCUGAAGAAGUACCAUCGGAGAUUGCAGAUUCAUCCAUGACAAGGCCGCAGGAGUUGAUGGAGCUGCCUAAGACCACAGCGUUGGAGCUGCCGGAGUCGUCGGUGGCCUCAGCGAUGGAGUUGCCGGGGCCACCUGCGACCUCCAUGCCGGAGUUGCAGGGGCCCUCAGUGACUCCAGUGCUGGAGUUACCUGGGCCCUCUGCUACCCCGGUGCCAGAGUUGCCAGGGCCCCUUUCUACCCCAGUGCCUGAGUUGCCAGGGCCCCCUGCGACAGCAGUGCCUGAGUUGCUGGGGCCCUCUGUGACACCAGUGCAACAGUUGUCACAGGAAAUGCCAGGGCUUCCAGCACCAUCCAUGGGGUUGGAGCCACCACAGGAGGUGCCAGAGCCACCUGUGAUGGCACAGGAGUUGCCAGGGCUGCCUGUGGUUACAGCGGCAGUAGAGUUGCCAGAGCAGCCUGCGGUGACAGUAGCAAUGGAGUUGACCGAACAACCUGUGACGACGACAGAGUUGGAGCAGCCUGUGGGGAUGACAACGGUGGAACAUCCUGGGCAUCCUGAGGUGACAACGGCAGCAGGGUUGCUGGGGCAGUCUGAGGCAACGAUGGUGCUGGAGUUGCCAGGACAGCCAGUGGCAACGACAGCGCUGGAGUUGCCGGGGCAGCCUUCGGUGACUGGGGUGCCAGAGUUGCCAGGGCUGCCUUCGGCAACUAGGGCACUGGAGUUGUCAGGGCAGCCUGUGGCAACUGGGGCACUAGAGUUGCCUGGGCAACUCAUGGCAACUGGGGCACUGGAGUUCUCGGGGCAGUCUGGGGCAGCUGGAGCACUGGAGCUUUUGGGGCAGCCUCUGGCAACAGGGGUGCUGGAGUUGCCGGGGCAGCCUGGGGCGCCAGAGUUGCCUGGGCAACCUGUGGCAACUGUGGCGCUGGAGAUCUCUGUUCAGUCUGUGGUGACAACAUCGGAGCUGUCAACGAUGACCGUGUCGCAGUCCCUGGAGGUGCCCUCGACGACAGCGCUGGAAUCCUAUAAUACGGUAGCACAGGAGCUGCCUACUACAUUAGUGGGGGAGACUUCUGUAACAGUAGGAGUGGAUCCCUUGAUGGCCCAAGAGUCCCAUAUGUUAGCUUCUAACACCAUGGAGACCCAUAUGUUAGCAUCCAACACUUUGGACUCCCAGAUGCUAGCGUCCAACACCAUGGACUCCCAGAUGCUAGCGUCCAACACCAUGGACUCCCAGAUGUUAGCCUCUAGCACCAUCGACUCCCAGAUGUUAGCAACUAGCACCAUGGACUCCCAGAUGUUAGCCACUAGCUCCAUGGACUCCCAGAUGUUAGCAACUAGCACUAUGGACUCCCAGAUGUUAGCAACCAGUUCCAUGGACUCCCAGAUGUUAGCAACCAGUUCCAUGGACUCCCAGAUGUUAGCAACCAGCUCCAUGGACUCCCAGAUGUUAGCAACCAGCUCCAUGGACUCCCAGAUGUUAGCAACCAGCUCUAUGGACUCCCAGAUGUUAGCAACCAGCUCUAUGGACUCCCAGAUGUUAGCAACCAGCACCAUGGAUUCUCAGAUGUUAGCAUCUGGCACUAUGGACUCUCAAAUGUUAGCUUCCGGCACCAUGGAUGCUCAGAUGUUAGCAUCUGGUACCAUGGAUGCCCAGAUGUUAGCGUCUAGUACCCAAGAUUCUGCUAUGUUGGGUUCAAAAUCUCCUGAUCCCUAUAGAUUAGCUCAGGAUCCUUACAGGUUAGCUCAGGAUCCUUAUAGGUUGGGUCAUGAUCCCUAUAGAUUAGGACAUGAUGCUUACAGGUUAGGACAGGACCCCUAUAGAUUAGGCCAUGAUCCCUACAGACUAACUCCUGAUCCCUAUAGGAUGUCACCUAGACCCUAUAGGAUAGCACCCAGGUCCUAUAGAAUAGCACCCAGGCCAUACAGGUUAGCACCUAGACCCCUGAUGUUAGCAUCUAGACGUUCUAUGAUGAUGUCCUAUGCUGCAGAACGUUCCAUGAUGUCAUCUUAUGAACGCUCUAUGAUGUCUUAUGAGCGGUCUAUGAUGUCCCCUAUGGCUGAGCGCUCUAUGAUGUCAGCGUAUGAGCGCUCUAUGAUGUCAGCCUAUGAGCGCUCUAUGAUGUCCCCUAUGGCCGAGCGCUCUAUGAUGUCAGCUUAUGAACGCUCUAUGAUGUCAGCUUAUGAGCGCUCCAUGAUGUCCCCAAUGGCUGAUCGAUCGAUGAUGUCCAUGGGUGCCGACCGGUCUAUGAUGUCGUCAUACUCUGCUGCUGACCGGUCUAUGAUGUCAUCGUACUCUGCAGCUGACCGAUCUAUGAUGUCAUCUUAUACUGCUGAUCGUUCAAUGAUGUCUAUGGCUGCUGAUUCUUACACUGAUUCUUACACUGAUACAUACACGGAGGCAUAUAUGGUGCCACCUUUGCCUCCUGAAGAGCCCCCAACAAUGCCGCCAUUGCCACCUGAGGAGCCACCAAUGACACCACCGUUGCCUCCUGAGGAGCCACCAGAGGGUCCAGGAUUAUCCACUGAGCAGUCAGCAUUAACAGCUGAGAAUACUUGGCCUACAGAGGUGCCAUCUUUACCUCCUGAAGAGUCUGUAUCGCAGGCCGAACCUGCUGUGAGUCAAAGUGAGAUUUCAGAGUCUUCGGCAGUGCCUGCUGAUUAUUCAUUGUCAGCAUCAGAUCCUUCAGUGUUAGCAGCAUCAGAGGCUGCCAUGACUAUUGCAGAACCACUGCUAGAGCCAGAAACUUCAGUUACGUCAACACCCGUAGAGUCGACGGUAGUAGCAGAAGAACAUGAAAUUAUUCCAGAGAGACCAGUGACUUGUGUGGUGUCUGAAACUCCCAUAAUGUCAGCUGAACCAACUAUGUUAAUAUCAGAGCCUCCUAUUAUGUCAGAGACAGCAGAAACAUUUGAUUCCAUGAGAGCCUCAGGGCAUAUAGCCUCAGAGGUACCUAUGUCCUUGCUGGAGCCAGCAGUAACUAUUCCAGAACCAGCAGAGAGCAGCAUCCUGGAGCCACCAACUAUGGCUGUUCCAGAGCCUCCAGCCAUGGCUGUCCCAGAGCCUCCAGCCAUGGCUGUCCCAGAGCCUCCAGCCAUGGCCGUCCCAGAGCCUCCAGCCAUGACUAUCCCGGAGCCUCUGCCUAUGGCUGUCUCGGAGCCUCCUGCUAUGGCCAUCCCUGAGCCUCUGGUUGUGGCUGAGCCAGAGCAUGUUACCAUUCCUGUGCCAGUUGUUUCUGUCCUGGAACCUACUGUGCCUGUCCUGGAACCAGUAGUGUCAGUCCUUCAACCUGCUGUGAUUGUUUCAGAACCAUCUGUUUCUGUCCAGGAAUCCACUGUGACAAUUUCAGAGCCUGCUGUAACUGUCUCAGAGCAGACUCAAGUACUAUCAACUGAAAUGGUUAUGGAGUCUACACCAAUGAUACUGGAGUCUAAUGUUGUGUCCUCAUCACAUGUUAUGAAAGGAAUGACUCUACUAUCUGGUGAUCAAAAUCUUGGUCCAGAGAGUGGCAUGCAGGAGAUUCCGUUGCAUUCAGGUGAGGAGCCACAUGAAGGACACCUGAAAAGUGACUCUUACGAAAAUGAUUGUGGAAUGAAUAUAGACCUUAAUAUAAAUAAUCAUUUGGUUGGUAAAGAAGUGGAACAUAAUACAAUGUGUGCUGCUAGCACUGGUUCUGUUGGUGAAAUUGGUGAAGACAAAAUUUUACCCAUCGAUGAGACUAAACAAUGCCAAGUAUUGGAUACUUACCCUGGUGUCAGUGAAGCAGAUGUAGGAGAAACUCUAUCUUCUACUGGUCCUCUUGCUCUGGAACCUGAUGCAGUGGGAACUAGUAAGACUAUUGAAUUUAUCACAGCAUCUACUCUCAGUUCAGUUAAUAAAUAUGAUGUUGAAGUAUCUUUAGCUACUCAAGAUACUGAACAUGACAUGGUAAUUUCAACGAGCCCCAGUGGUGGUAGUGAAGCUGAUAUAGAAGGACCUUUGCCUGCUAAAGACAUUCAUCUUGAUUUACCAUCUAGUAAUAACCUUGUUUGUAAGGAUACAGAAGAACCAUUAACCCUAAAAGAGAGUGACCAGACUUCUGCAGUAGCUCUCAGUCCUAAAGAUACUAGUGGAGUUGAAAAAGAAGUACCUCUCCCUACUAAAGAGAUAUCUGAUUCAGCAUUUUCUGCCAACAUUGAGGAUAUUAAUGAAGCAGAUUUAGUAAGACCAUUGCUUCCUAAGGACAUGGAACGUCUUACAAGCCUUAGAGCUAGUAUUGAAGGACCUUUGCUAGCAAGUGAAGUUGAACGUGACAAAUCUGCUGCCAGUCCAGUUGUAAUUAGUAUACCAGAAAGAGCUUCAGAGUCAUCUUCUGAGGAAAAAGAUGAUUAUGAAAUUUUUGUAAAAGUUAAGGACACACAUGAAAAAAGCAAGAAAAAUAAGAACCGUGACAAAGGUGAGAAAGAGAAGAAAAGAGACUCUUCAUUAAGAUCUCGAAGUAAGCGUUCCAAGUCUUCUGAACACAAAUCACGCAAGCGAACCAGUGAAUCUCGUUCUAGGGCAAGGAAGAGAUCAUCUAAGUCCAAGUCUCAUCGCUCUCAAACACGUUCACGCUCACGUUCAAGACGUAGGAGGAGGAGCAGCAGGUCAAGAUCAAAGUCUAGAGGAAGACGAUCUGUAUCAAAAGAGAAGCGUAAAAGAUCUCCAAAGCACAGAUCCAAGUCUAGGGAAAGAAAAAGAAAAAGAUCAAGCUCCAGGGAUAACCGAAAAACAGUUAGAGCUCGAAGUCGCACCCCAAGUCGUCGGAGUCGGAGUCACACUCCGAGUCGUCGAAGAAGGUCUAGAUCUGUGGGUAGAAGAAGGAGCUUUAGCAUUUCUCCCAGCCGCAGGAGCCGCACCCCAAGCCGCAGGAGCCGCACCCCAAGCCGCAGGAGCCGCACCCCAAGCCGCAGGAGCCGCACCCCAAGCCGCAGGAGCCGCACCCCAAGCCGCAGGAGCCGUACCCCAAGCCGCAGGAGCCGAACCCCAAGCCGCAGGAGCCGCACCCCCAGCCGUCGAAGAAGAUCAAGGUCUGUGGGAAGACGACGAAGCUUCAGUAUAUCCCCAGUCAGAUUGAGGCGAUCAAGAACACCGUUGAGAAGAAGGUUCAGUAGAUCUCCUAUCCGUCGUAAAAGAUCUAGGUCUUCUGAACGAGGCAGAUCACCCAAACGUCUGACAGAUUUGGAUAAGGCUCAGUUACUUGAAAUAGCCAAAGCUAAUGCAGCUGCCAUGUGUGCUAAGGCUGGUGUUCCUUUACCGCCAAACCUAAAGCCUGCACCUCCACCUACAAUAGAAGAGAAAGUUGCUAAAAAGUCAGGAGGAGCUACUAUAGAAGAACUAACUGAGAAAUGCAAACAGAUCGCACAGAGUAAAGAAGAUGAUGAUGUAAUAGUGAAUAAACCUCAUGUUUCGGAUGAAGAGGAAGAAGAACCUCCUUUUUAUCAUCAUCCCUUUAAACUCAAUGAACCCAAACCCAUUUUUUUCAAUCUGAAUAUUGCUGCAGCAAAGCCAACUCCACCAAAAAGCCAGGUAACAUUAACAAAAGAAUUUCCCGUGUCGUCUGGAUCUCAACAUCGGAAAAAAGAAGCCGACAGUGUUUAUGGAGAGUGGGUUCCUGUAGAAAAAAAUGGUGAAGAAAACAAAGAUGAUGAUAAUGUUUUCAGCAGCAAUUUGCCCUCAGAGCCUGUGGACAUCUCUACAGCAAUGAGUGAACGGGCACUUGCUCAGAAAAGACUCAGUGAGAAUGCAUUUGACCUUGAAGCCAUGAGCAUGUUAAACCGAGCUCAGGAAAGGAUUGAUGCCUGGGCUCAGCUGAACUCUAUUCCUGGCCAGUUCACAGGAAGUACAGGAGUACAGGUUCUAACACAAGAACAGUUGGCUAAUACUGGUGCCCAAGCCUGGAUUAAAAAGGGCCAAAUCCUUGUAGCUGUCUUCUUGCCCCGGUCAGUGCCAGCCGUACUAUUCACAACACUGCUGCUACCGAGGCCUAGGAUCAGUUCUUAAGAGCAGCCCCGGUAACUGGAGGAAUGGGAGCCGUUUUGAUGAGAAAAAUGGGCUGGAGAGAAGGAGAAGGAUUAGGAAAAAACAAAGAAGGAAAUAAGGAACCCAUCUUAGUUGAUUUUAAGACAGAUCGGAAAGGUCUUGUUGCAGUAGGAGAAAGAGCACAAAAGAGGUCUGGGAACUUCUCUGCAGCAAUGAAAGAUCUGUCAGGCAAGCAUCCUGUGUCUGCCUUGAUGGAAAUCUGUAAUAAGAGAAGGUGGCAACCACCAGAAUUUCUCUUGGUCCAUGAUAGUGGCCCUGAUCAUCGCAAACAUUUUCUCUUUAGGGUAUUGAGAAAUGGAAGCCCUUACCAGCCCAAUUGUAUGUUUUUCUUGAAUAGGUAUUGAUAAAUGGAAGCGCUUACCAGCCCAGCUUUGCCAGCCCUAAUAAGAAGCAUGCUAAAGCCACAGCAGCUACUGUGGUUCUUCAAGCAAUGGGCCUUGUACCAAAGGACCUCAUGGCUAAUGCCACUUGCUUCAGGAGUGCCUCACGUAGAUAGAUUGAGGUUUUAUAAUAAUCAUUUCAGAUAAUUUUACUCUGCAUCACAAUGUAUUUCCUCUUUAAUGUUGUAAAUAUUUGGCAAUUUAAGACAUUGUGUAAAAAGCAAUCUGUACAAACAUCUCCAGGCUUUGAUUUUUGUACCAUGGAAAUUGUAUUUAACCAUACAGGGUUUUGGUAUGUUUAUAUUGUUUACCUUAGUGAUGUAUUUGUUUAAGUGGCUAACAUCCAAACGAUUGUUUGAAGGCAUCAGUAAUCUUCAGUGUGGAAUGUUAAAUAACGCUUUUAUACUGUAUUUUGUACUAUGAUGUAACUCCCCUUCCUUAUGGCUAGGCUGCUGUAACACUUGCCUGUAAUCAGAGAAGGGCUGUGCACCUUGUACUAUUUCACAAUGGGUUCUGCUGGACAGAUACUGGGCCAGUGUUAAUUGGGGUAAUCAAGCAAGAUCUGUUCCACAGGGCUAAUGCCACCAUCUCCCCUUAAAAUUUUGUAGAGGUUAUAAAAAGAAAGUGGUAUGUUGUGUGAUGAUCAGCACUAAGUCCUGCAUUCCUGUUAAAGCCACUUGGGUCAUAAGGGAGUCAAAAAUGAAGUCUGACUAGAAUUCUACUGCAGAGGCCAAGUACAUUUAGUAUGGCAUUGAGUUGUGAUAUAGUUUUACUUUGAUGUGCAUUUUGAAUUUCAGCUACACCUAGAUAGACGUAAAAUGAUAAUUAAAAUGCUGUAACCAACUUAUCUAAUAAAAUUGGCAACCAGCCACUAUUUUGUUGACUAUGAGAGAAAGUUUAAGUUUAUGUUAAUUUUUAGGGUCUUAUAGAAUAUUUCAUGUGUAUUACAGUGGUAUUCAUAUGCUAUGUCUCUAAACUUUAUUUUCAAAAGCUUAAGGCCCAAAUACAAACUUCUCUGGAAUAAA